GUUAGGGUUAGGGUUAGGGUUAGGGGUUAGGGUUAGGCAAUUUUUCUCUCUCGGUGACUCUCCCCAACUCGUCCAGCGACUGAGUGGUUGAAACUGGAAAGUCAAAGGUAAUGCACUGGCCGUCGCACGCCGUCCGCAGCUCUCAUGUCCUUGGACGCACCCAAGCAGAGGAAAUAGUAGUAA